GAAAUGCGAUACGUAAUGCGAAUUGCAAGACCUCGUGAAUCAUUAAAAUUUUGAACGCACAUUGCGCUUUCGGGAUUUUCCCGGUAGCAUGCUUGUCUGAGUGUCUGCGGAACCCACUCUUCGGUUGUGAUAAUUGUUAUUAGAACUAGAAGGAUUGUGGCAGUGGAUGCAAUCGCUUUUGAAGCUGAUAUGAGAUAAUAUUGGUUUGGAUUGCGUUGAUGCUUUCUCUGUUGAAGUGGUGGUGUUGUUGACACAGUAUGUGAGUGGUAACAGUUGUUAGUCUGUUGCGUUGUCAACUUGCUCUGGUAGGAUAGUUGUAGUGACUGUCGUAUAUUGUUCGGAGUUUUGGUUGUUAAUUGCACAGGUGUGAUACUUAGUUGCGCUCUUCGGCAGUAGACCUUUUGGGUUUGCUGUUGCUGCUUCCGGAUCUCAGCUCAAGCAAGAGGACCCGCCGAAUUUAAGCAUAUUAUUAAGCGGAGGAAAAGAAACUAACCAGGAUUCCCCU
rnacentral:rRNA from 1 species